ACGAAGGGUGCAAGCGUUACUCGGAAUUACUGGGCGUAAAGGGCGCGUAGGCGGCAAUUCAAGUCAGCUGUGAAAUCUCCGGGCUUAACUCGGAACGGUCAGCUGAUACUGUCUUGCUAGAGUACAGAAGGGGCAAUCGGAAUUCUUGGUGUAGCGGUGAAAUGCGUAGAUAUCAAGAGGAACACCUGAGGUGAAGACGGGUUGCUGGGCUGAUACUGACGCUGAGGCGCGAAAGCUAGGGUAGCAAACGGGA
rnacentral:rRNA from 1 species